GACGAACGCUGGCGGCGUGCUUAACACAUGCAAGUCGAACGGAAAGGCCCCUUUGGGGGUCCUCGAGUGGCGAACGGGUGCGUAACACGUGAGUAACCUGCCCUUGACUUCGGGAUAACUUCAGGAAACUGGGGCUAAUACCGGAUAGGAAUCCUUGCUGCAUGGUGGGGGUUGGAAAGCUUCGGCGGUUUUGGAUGGACUCGCGGCUUAUCAGCUUGUUGGUGGGGUAGUGGCUUACCAAGGCUUUGACGGGUAGCCGGCCUGAGAGGGCGACCGGCCACAGUGGGACUGAGAGACGGCCCAGACGCCUACGGGAGGCAGCAGGGGGGAAUAUUGCACAAGGGGCGGAAGCCGGAUGCAGAAACGCCGCGGGCGGGAUGACGGCCUUCGGGUUGUAAACCGCUUUCAGCAGGGGCGAAGCUUGUGGUGACGGUACCUGCAGAAGAAGCACCGGCUAACUACGUG
rnacentral:rRNA from 1 species